rnacentral:rRNA from 1 species
CACCUCCCACCCGUGUUUAUUGUACCUUGUUGCUUCGGUGCGCCCGCCUCACGGCCGCCGGGGGGCUUCUGCCCCCGGGUCCGCGCGCACCGGAGACACCAUUGAACUCUGUCUGAAGAUUGCAGUCUGAGCAUAAACUAAAUAAGUUAAAACUUUCAACAACGGAUCUCUUGGUUCCGGCAUCGAUGAAGAACGCAGCGAAAUGCGAUAACUAAUGUGAAUUGCAGAAUUCAGUGAAUCAUCGAGUCUUUGAACGCACAUUGCGCCCCCUGGUAUUCCGGGGGGCAUGCCUGUCCGAGCGUCAUUGCUGCCCUCAAGCACGGCUUGUGUGUUGGGCUCCGUCCCCCCGGGGACGGGCCCGAAAGGCAGCGGCGGCACCGAGUCCGGUCCUCGAGCGUAUGGGGCUUUGUCACCCGCUCUGUAGGCCCGGCCGGCGCCAGCCGACAACCCAUCAUCCUUUUCAGGUUGACCUCGGAUCAGGUAGGGAUACCCGCUGAACUUAAGCAUAUCAAUAAGCGGAGGAA